rnacentral:lncRNA from 1 species
AUACAGGUGACCGUAUCCUGAGCCCCGGGCAGAGGCAGGACCGAGCCGCAAUCUGAACAGAAAUCCAGGUCCGACUGAAAGCUGGAGCAAGUAUUGGCGAGGUCCAUGACAGACAUGCGGUCGGGUCUGAGGAGGGAGUUGGAAGUUUAUUAACAAAAGAGAGAAGAGUUCCUGUCCCAGAGGUCGUAACUAUUCUGUCCCAGGACCUAGGAGUAUAUAACCCGAACCCUCCUGCCACGCACGCCUCCUGCCUCUGCGACCAAGGAGCCGAAACGCCCGGAAUUCCCAGACAGCGUCGGGUACUAAAGGACUUGGAACCCUUUCCAGGGGCCGGUGAGAGGAGUUAACCAACUCCGUGGGCUAGAGCGCCAGCUCUGCGCCCGCGGCGGGGCAGCGAGAUAGAGCCGGCUAGAGCGUCAGGCUUUCGCGUUGACGAUUGGCUGUGACGUCAUAAUUAAUUGCGAACCGUGUCUCGGGAGCGUUAGAGAUGGAGACUAACGUCUUCCAAGGGAGAUUGCGUCUCCACUUUCACCCUGGUACUGAGAGGUUGAGCACAAAAUUGGUAACCAAUGCUGCGCUUCCAGCAAAUUUUCCCACCAGCACCCAAUCCUGGGAUAUUUAUUCUCUUUGUCUCACAUCCUACAGGAACGCAGUCGCGGGGUAUAUCCCCCUGAAAACCGUACGUUGCCAAAUAAUGAUUUCUUUGGAUUAGAGAACUACAACUCCCCUGGGUCCUGAGCCGGUAUUUCCCUUUUGCGGCUGCACCGUAGUUAAAAACAAAGCUAAGUGUUCUGGGACGUAUAGUUCUAGCGUUCCUUGGGUCCCGCUGGCGAGCGUGGGCUUUCUGCAGCUCGCAACCGGCCUCGUGCUUUGCGGACGGUUCACUGCGCUUGGAAAGGGAUUGGCCUGGGGUACAUCAUCUAAAGAUCCUAGGAUUGCUGCAGGUCAGCAGUCUCCACUGGAAAAAAAGAUCUUGCAUGUAUUUCAAGUCCUCUGAUGAAUCAUGUGAUCUACUAGACCCUGAAGAUACAGUGAAGAGCAAAAGAACACAGAUGAAAUGAGAAACAAAAAUGAUGGAGAAAACCAAAAAAGGGGACACAUGGGAUCCAGGCAAUAGGAGAGCCAGCAUAAGAGAGAGGCAGAGGGAUGCCCAGGAUGAGGUGAAGACGAUCUUGGAAAUCAGCCCAGAUGUGCAUGCACCAGUCCACGUGUGGCAGGACCAAGGGAAGUGUCUUCACAAAGAUGAGGCUUUGAUUUGUUGGAGAAACUGUUACCAGAAAAACAGGUCCCGAUCCCGACCCCAAAAGAGUAUUCUUGGAUCUUGCACAGGAAGGAAUUAAAGGUCUAGCUCUGUCUCCUCAGCACAUGUUCUAGGCUCUGACUGCAAGUGCUGACUUGGGCUCCCAGCCCCACACAGACCCUCUGUUCCAUGAAAGGGCCAUCUAUGCAAAGUGCCCCCCAAAUGCCAAAGGAGCCAAUAAACCAAGGAACAAGACA